GUCUACGGCCAUACCACCCUGAACGCGCCCGAUCUCGUCUGAUCUCGGAAGCUAAGCAGGGUCGGGCCUGGUUAGUACUUGGAUGGGAGAUAUGAAUCCUAAUACAUAGAUG
rnacentral:rRNA from 1 species